rnacentral:rRNA from 1 species
AUUGAACGCUAGCGGGAUGCUUUACACAUGCAAGUCGAACGAGUGGAGGACGUGUGAGUAAUGUAUCGGAACGUGCCUAGUGGCGGGGGAUCACUACUGGACAGAAUGACUAAUACCGCAUACAAUUGGCUCGGCCGGUAUCGGAUUAGCUAGUUGGUGGGGUAAAGGCACACCAAGGCCACGAUCCGUCGCUGGUUUGAGAGGAUGACCAGCUACACUGGGACUGAGACACGGCCCAGACUCCUACGGGAGGCAGCAGUGGGGAAUUUUGGACAAUGGGCGAAACCCUGAUCCAGCCAUCCCGCGUGUAUGAGAAGGCCUUCGGGUUGUAAAGUACUUUUGGCAGGGAAGCGUUAUCUGCAGAAUAAGCACCGGCUAACUACGUGCCAGCAGCCGCGGUAAUUC